rnacentral:rRNA from 1 species
CCUACGGGUGGCAGCAGUCGAGAAUCAUUCACAAUGGGGGAAACCCUGAUGGUGCGACGCCGCGUGGGGGAAUGAAGGUCUUCGGAUGGUAAACCCCUGUCAUGUGGGAGCAAAUUAAAAAGAUAGUACCACAAGAGGAAGAGACGGCUAACUCUGUGCCAGCAGCCGCGGUAAUACAGAGGUCUCAAGCGUUGUUCGGAAUCACUGGGCGUAAAGCGUGCGUAGGCUGUUUCGUAAGUCGUGUGUGAAAGGCGCGGGCUCAACCCGCGGAGGGUACAUGAUACUGGGAGACUAGAGUAAUGGAGGGGGAAGCGGAAUUCUCGGUGUAGCAGUGAAAUGCGUAGAUAUCGAGAGGAACACUCGUGGCGAAGGCGGGUGCCUGGACAUUAACUGACGCUGAGGCACGAAGGCCAGGGGAGCGAAAGGGAUUAGAUACCCGAGUAGUC